rnacentral:rRNA from 1 species
AACGAACGCUGGCGGCAUGCCUAACACAUGCAAGUCGAACGAGACCUUCGGGUCUAGUGGCGCACGGGUGCGUAACGCGUGGGAAUCUGCCCUUGGGUUCGGAAUGACAGUUGGAAACGACUGCUAAUACCGGAUGAUGACGUAAGUCCAAAGAUUUAUCGCCCAAGGAUGAGCCCGCGUAGGAUUAGCUAGUUGGUGAGGUAAAGGCUCACCAAGGCGACGAUCCUUAGCUGGUCUGAGAGGAUGAUCAGCCACACUGGGACUGAGACACGGCCCAGACUCCUACGGGAGGCAGCAGUGGGGAAUAUUGGACAAUGGGCGAAAGCCUGAUCCAGCAAUGCCGCGUGAGUGAUGAAGGCCUUAGGGUUGUAAAGCUCUUUUACCCGGGAUGAUAAUGACAGUACCGGGAGAAUAAGCUCCGGCUAACUCCGUG